AUGAACGCUGGCGGCGUGCCUAAUACAUGCAAGUCGAGCGAACAGACGAGGAGCUUGCUCCUCUGACGUUAGCGGCGGGCGGGUGAGUAACACGUGGAUAACCUACCUAUAAGACUGGGAUAACUUCGGGAAACCGGAGCUAAUACCGGAUAAUAUAUUGAACCGCAUGGUUCAAUAGUGAAAGACGGUUUUGCUGUCACUUAUAGAUGGAUCCGCGCCGCAUUAGCUAGUUGGUAAGGUAACGGCUUACCAAGGCAACGAUGCGUAGCCGACCUGAGAGGGUGAUCGGCCACACUGGAACUGAGACACGGUCCAGACUCCUACGGGAGGCAGCAGUAGGGAAUCUUCCGCAAUGGGCGAAAGCCUGACGGAGCAACGCCGCGUGAGUGAUGAAGGUCUUCGGAUCGUAAAACUCCGUUAUUAGGGAAGAACAAAUGUGUAAGUAACUAUGCACGUCUUGACGGUACCUAAUCAGAAAGCCACGGCUAACUACGUG
rnacentral:rRNA from 1 species